UACAGAGGUCUCAAGCGUUGUUCGGAAUCACUGGGCGUAAAGGGCGCGUAGGCGGAUGGCACAGUCAGAUGUGAAAUUCCCGGGCUUAACCUGGGGGCUGCAUUUGAUACGUGUGAUCUAGAGUGAGGAAGAGGGUCGUGGAAUUCCCAGUGUAGAGGUGAAAUUCGUAGAUAUUGGGAAGAACACCGGUGGCGAAGGCGGCGACCUGGUCCUUGACUGACGCUGAGGCGCGAAAGCGUGGGGAGCAAACAGG
rnacentral:rRNA from 1 species